rnacentral:lncRNA from 1 species
UAAGGGACUAUACUUCUCCAUACUAUAAUGAAAGUGGAAUAGGAAUGCAGUUCUCAAGGUCUCCACUUACUCCUUUUUUUUUUUUUUUUUUUGUAGGGAGAGCAUGGAAGUGGAGAGAGGGAGAGGGAGAGAAUCUUAAGCAGGCUCCACGCUCAGCAUGGAGCCCAACACACGGCUUGAUCUCAAAACCCUAAGAUCAUGACCUGAGCUGAAAUCAAGAGUUGGACGCUCAACCAACUGAGCCACCCAGGCACCCCUACACUUACUCUGCUUGCCUACAGGAUAAAAUAAAAUAAAAUCAGAACCUGAGCCAGAAUGUUCUAGAGUUCCUUACCUUAAAAGCCACUGAAAAACAGGAUGCAUGUGUUUGAGGCUUAUUAUUUGGGCUGGCAUAUGAUUUAUCUUGCCAAACAUGGCACUCUUACCCCACAACAGGCUUAACUGUCCUGGGUAAACCAGGGUCGUGUAUUCACUCUACUAACAAUGGUGGUGGCAGUGGGGUGUAAUUUCCCAGAGUUGAGUGCUUGGCACAUUUCAUUCCUCAAGCUAAUAUGUAAUAGAGUCCCAUUGUAGGUGCUGUGAGAGAAAUAGAUACACAUCUUCUACCCUCAAGGAGUUUACAGGGUUGAGAAAGAGAUGGCUAUUACUGAGUCAAAACAAUACUGAAACAAUACUGCUCAGACCAAGGAACAAAAAAGAAGUUUAGUAAGUGGUUCCUAUGGAGACACUGAUGCUUGAUCUACGCAGUUACCUCCGCGUUCAAUUACUGAUGGUCUGUCGCAACUUGACAGAUUUGGGAGGCUACAAUCAAGGUCAUUUGAGAAGUAAGACCCGGUGUCUUACCCUUACCUAUGGGUGUCCACAUAGAAAUUUAUAGACAUGGGAAAGGCUAGAUAAUGAGAAUGCUCCAUAAAGAGGCACCGUACUUCACCAGGGAGAAAGGCAUCCAAGUUGCUUCACAAAUGUUAAGAAAUAUGCCUAUUUAAUUGUAUGUUGCAUUUUCCCUGGUCUUUGUUUUAUUCAUUUCAUGUGCAGUGAUUAAAAAGAUAUAUUGUACAUUUUAUUAUCUCUUAUGUUUUCCAAUAAAUACAAACCUGGCAUACUUUUUUUCUCAAAUUCUUCUCGGAGGUGUGGUGAACAUCG